GACGAACGCUGGCGGCGUGCUUAACACAUGCAAGUCGAACGGAAAGGCCCUGCUUUUGUGGGGUGCUCGAGUGGCGAAAGGGUGACUAACACGUGAGUAACCUGCCCUUGACUUUGGGAUAACUUCAGGAAACUGGGGCUAAUACCGGAUAGGAGCUCCUGCUGCAUGGUGGGGGUUGGAAAGUUUCGGCGGUUGGGGAUGGACUCGCGGCUUAUCAGCUUGUUGGUGGGGUAGUGGCUUACCAAGGCUUUGACGGGUAGCCGGCCUGAGAGGGUGACCGGCCACAUUGGGACUGAGAUACGGCCCAGACUCCUACGGGAGGCAGCAGUGGGGAAUAUUGCACAAUGGGCGGAAGCCUGAUGCAGCAACGCCGCGUGCGGGAUGACGGCCUUCGGGUUGUAAACCGCUUUCGCCUGUGACGAAGCGUGAGCGACGGUAAUGGGUAAAGAAGCACCGGCUAACUACGUG
rnacentral:rRNA from 1 species